rnacentral:rRNA from 1 species
CAAAAACAUGCCUUUUUGAUUAUAAUAUAAGGUCUAAUCUGCCCACUGAUAAUUAUUAAAGGGCCGCAGUAUAUUGACUGUGCAAAGGUAGCAUAAUCUUUUGUCUUUUAAUUGAAGGCUAGAAUGAAUGAUUGAAUGAAAUAUUAACUGUCUCAUAAUAAUAAAUAUAAAAAUUUAAUAUUUUAGUUAAAAAGCUAAAAUUAUAUUAAAAGACGAGAAGACCCUAUAGAUCUUUAUAAUUAAAUUUUUUAAUAAAUUUAUUAAAAAAAUAAUAUUAAUUUAAUUAAUUAUUUUAUUGGGGUGAUAGAAAAAUUUAUAUAACUUUUUUUUAUAUAAAAACAUUAAUUUAUGAAAUUUUAUUUUGAUCCAUUAAUAGUGAUUAUAAGAUUAAGUUACCUUAGGGAUAACAGCGUAAUUUUUUUAAAGAGUUCUUAUCGAUAAAAAGGAUUGCGACCUCGAUGUUGAAUUAAAGUAUAUAUUUAAAUGUAGCAGUUUAAAUAGUAGGUCUGUUCGACC